rnacentral:rRNA from 1 species
UAGUCAUAUGCUUGUCUUAAAGAUUAAGCCAUGCAUGUCUAAGUGUAAAUGAAUAUUGCACAGUGAAACUGCGAAUGGCUCAUUAAAACAGUUAUAGUUUACUCGAUGAUGAAUAGUUACGUGGAUAACUGCAGUAAUCCUGGAGCUAUACAUGCACAAAGCAAUUGCCAGGGUGACUUGGUGUUUGCGUAUUUAUUGGCCUAAAGACCGGAUGGUGUGGGGUAACUCACACCAUUUAUUGUAGGUGAAUCACGAUAACUUUUACGGAUCGCAUUCCCUUGUGGAGGCGACGAAUCGUUCAAGUUUCUGCCCUAUCAACUCACGACGGUGGUGUAUCGGACCACCGUGGUCUUGACGGGUGACGGAGAAUUAGGGUUCGAUUCCGGAGAGGGAGCCUGAGAGACGGCUACCACUUCCAAGGAAGGCAGCAGGCGCGCAAAUCACCCAAUCCCGAUACGGGGAGGUAGUGACAAUAAAUAACAAUGCUUGGCAGUCAAAUGUUGAGCAAUUGGAAUGAGAACAAUGUAAACACCUUAACGAGGAACAAUU